CACGCCUAACAGGCUGUUCUGGUCAAAACAACUUUAUGUGGAAAAUGAAAACCACAUCUGCUGACUUAACGUUUAUCCUGCUACGGUAAACAGGUGAAAGAGGAAAAAGAGGUCAGAGUGGACUGAGGGAAGAAUGAAAAGAGCCGUGGAUGAAUUAAAGAAGCUGCUUGAGUCAUCCAAGUUGAGAUGGAAUAAAUUAACUGUCUAAAAAGCAGAGGUGGAAGUAACUACACGCUAAAAAUACCUGGGUUAAAUUUUUACCCAGUUUGGAUCAAUAAAGCAUCAACAACCCA